GGAGAGUAGCGCCGGGUGGUCCGGCAGCCCGCCUCGAAUGCGGGAGCGGCGCGAAAGCGCCGGGGUUCGACUCCUCUGCUCUCCGC
rnacentral:tRNA from 1 species